CGGGGUGCAGCAGGCGCGAAAACUUUGCAAUGCGGGAAACCGUGACAAGGGAACUCUGAGUGCCCGUAAAAUCGGGCUGUCCAUCGGUUUAAAUAACCGGUGAAGAAAGGGCCGGGCAAGACCGGUGCCAGCCGCCGCGGUAAUACCGGCGGCUCGAGUGGUGGCCACUAUUACUGGGCUUAAAGCGUUCGUAGCUGGUCUGUUAAGUCUCUGGGGAAAUCUUCCGGCUUAACCGGAAGGCGUCUCAGGGAUACUGGCAGACUAGGGACCGGGAGAGGUGAGAGGUACUCCAGGGGUAGGAGUGAAAUCCUGUAAUCCUUGGGGGACCACCUGUGGCGAAGGCGUCUCACCAGAACGGCUCCGACAGUGAGGGACGAAAGCUGGGGGAGCAAACCGGAUUAGAUACCCGGGUAGUCCCAGCUGUAAACGAUGCGCGUUAGGUGUAUCGGUGACCACGAGUCACCGAGGUGCCGAAGAGAAAUCGUGAAACGUGCCGCCUGGGAAGUACGGUCGCAAGGCUGAAACUUAAAGGAAUUGGCGGGGGAGCACAAGGGCGAUUCGCG
rnacentral:rRNA from 1 species